rnacentral:rRNA from 1 species
UACGUAGGGUCCAAGCGUUAUCCGGAAUCACUGGGCGUAAAGCGUGCGUAGGUGGGUGCUUAAGUGAGUUGUUAAAUCGUGUGGCUCAACCAUAUCGAUGCAAUUCAUACUGGGCGUCUAGAGGACAGCAGAGGCAAGUGGAAUUGGUAGUGUAGCAGUGAAAUGCGUAGAUAUUACCAGGAACACCAAUGGCGAAGGCAGCUUGCUGGGCUACUCCUGACACUGAGGUACGAAAGCGUGGGGAGCGAACAGG